rnacentral:rRNA from 2 species
CCUGCCCAGAAGCGGGGGAUAACACCUGGAAACAGAUGCUAAUACCGCAUAACAACUUGGACCGCAUGGUCCGAGUUUGAAAGAUGGCUUCGGCUAUCACUUUUGGAUGGUCCCGCGGCGUAUUAGCUAGAUGGUGGGGUAACGGCUCACCAUGGCAAUGAUACGUAGCCGACCUGAGAGGGUAAUCGGCCACAUUGGGACUGAGACACGGCCCAAACUCCUACGGGAGGCAGCAGUAGGGAAUCUUCCACAAUGGACGAAAGUCUGAUGGAGCAACGCCGCGUGAGUGAAGAAGGGUUUCGGCUCGUAAAACUCUGUUGUUAAAGAAGAACAUAUCUGAGAGUAACUGUUCAGGUAUUGACGGUAUUUAACCAGAAAGCCACGGCUAACUACGUGCCAGCAGCCGCGGUAAUACGUAGGUGGCAAGCGUUGUCCGGAUUUAUUGGGCGUAAAGCGAGCGCAGGCGGUUUUUUAAGUCUGAUGUGAAAGCCUUCGGCUCAACCGAAGAAGUGCAUCGGAAACUGGGAAACUUGAGUGCAGAAGAGGACAGUGGAACUCCAUGUGUAGCGGUGAAAUGCGUAGAUAUAUGGAAGAACACCAGUGGCGAAGGCGGCUGUCUGGUCUGUAACUGACGCUGAGGCUCGAAAGUAUGGGUAGCAAACAGGAUUAGAUACCCUGGUAGUCCAUACCGUAAACGAUGAAUGCUAAGUGUUGGAGGGUUUCCGCCCUUCAGUGCUGCAGCUAACGCAUUAAGCAUUCCGCCUGGGGAGUACGGCCGCAAGGCUGAAACUCAAAGGAAUUGACGGGGGCCCGCACAAGCGGUGGAGCAUGUGGUUUAAUUCGAAGCUACGCGAAGAACCUUACCAGGUCUUGACAUACUAUGCAAAUCUAAGAGAUUAGACGUUCCCUUCGGGGACAUGGAUACAGGUGGUGCAUGGUUGUCGUCAGCUCGUGUCGUGAGAUGUUGGGUUAAGUCCCGCAACGAGCGCAACCCUUAUUAUCAGUUGCCAGCAUUAAGUUGGGCACUCUGGUGAGACUGCCGGUGACAAACCGGAGGAAGGUGGGGAUGACGUCAAAUCAUCAUGCCCCUUAUGACCUGGGCUACACACGUGCUACAAUGGAUGGUACAACGAGUUGCGAACUCGCGAGAGUAAGCUAAUCUCUUAAAGCCAUUCUCAGUUCGGAUUGUAGGCUGCAACUCGCCUACAUGAAGUCGGAAUCGCUAGUAAUCGCGGAUCAGCAUGCCGCGGUGAAUACG